UACGAGGGGUGCAAGCGUUACUCGGAAUUACUGGGCGUAAAGCGUGCGUAGGCGGUUUGUUAAGUCUGCUGUGAAAGCCCCGGGCUCAACCUGGGAACGGCAGUGGAUACUGGCAAGCUAGAGUGUGUCAGAGGAUGGUGGAAUUCCCGGUGUAGCGGUGAAAUGCGUAGAGAUCGGGAGGAACAUCAGUGGCGAAGGCGGCCAUCUGGGACAACACUGACGCUGAGGCACGAAAGCGUGGGGAGCAAACAGG
rnacentral:rRNA from 1 species